GGUUAAGCGACUAAGCGUACACGGUGGAUGCCCUGGCAGUCAGAGGCGAUGAAGGACGUGCUAAUCUGCGAUAAGCGUCGGUGAGGUGAUAUGAACCGUUAUAACCGGCGAUUUCCGAAUGGGGAAACCCAGUGUGAUUCGUCACACUAUCAUUAACUGAAU
rnacentral:rRNA from 1 species